AUGUACAUGGCUAUAUUAUUAAUGCAUUGGAUCCCAUUUGAACUCUGCAGUUAAGCAUGCUUGGGCUAGAUUAUUAUUGGGAUGGGUGACCACCUAGAAAUUCCUAGUGUUUUACAUG
rfam:Picea glauca, whole genome shotgun sequence.